rnacentral:misc_RNA from 1 species
GAUGAAGAACGUAGCGAAAUGCGAUAAGUAAUGUGAAUUGCAGAAUUCAGUGAAUCAUCGAAUCUUUGAACGCACAUUGCGCCCGCCAGUAUUCUGGCGGGCAUGCCUGUCCGAGCGUCAUUUCAACCCUCGAACCCCUCCGGGGGGUCGGCGUUGGGGAUCGGCCCUUUCACCGGGUGCCGUCCCCCAAAUACAGUGGCGGUCUCGCCGCAGCCUCUCAUGCGCAGUAGUUUGCACACUCGCACCGGGAGCGCGGCGCGUCCACGUCCGUAAAACACCCCAAACUUCUGAAAUGUUGACCUCGGAUCAGGUAGGAAUACCCGCUGAACUUAAGCAUAUCAAUAAGCGGGGGA